AAGCCAAAAUUAUAUACACUCAAUAAUACAUGUAGCCUUCUCUUUUCCAAAAGUUUUAUGUCCUUUUUCAAAUAGUUAAACACUUUCUCUACCAAUCCAAAACUUCCUUCCAACCAUUAGUGCGUUGUGAUUAUUCUAUUUUGAGCAGUUAUAUGUUAUAUAAACAUAAAUUAAACAGAAAUGUGAAAUACCUGCUUUACUGUAAGCUAAUGAAGAUGAAAUUUAUUCAUUCGGCGAAAAAUUCUACAAUGCAAUUUGAUUGGUCUCUUGUCGGAGAUAUUAUUUUUCGUUUCUCGACCCUGAUUUCCUUGAUUAAAUGAGUUAUAAUUGAAGAUUGAGAGGGACACUAAUGGCAUGCUUCGGUGUCAGCUUCUCUUGUGUUACUUUCUGAAUUUGGAAUCAAUGAAAUCAACUGCUGCUCUCUUCUUAGAAUUUCUGAAUGCAUGAUUAUCCGUGAAAAAUGGUAAUUUGAAGGAGUUCCUGCCAAAGAAGGCCUUUGUAUUUCCACGGCGAGCAUGUUAGGAGAUAACAAUGAUAGGAAGAGAAAGCAAGCAGAAGAUAUUGUGGAUGAGUUCAGAAAUUCCAAGUCAUUCUCAUCUUCGAUGUAUUAUAUGUUAAGUUUGUAUAUUAGAAACUAAAAAUAUUUAUUGAAAAAUAGAAUGUAUUCAAAAAUUAAUUCAAAAGUAAAUUAAAUCUUAAGUGAAUUUCA